rnacentral:misc_RNA from 1 species
GAUGAAGAACGUAGCGAAAUGCGAUAAGUAGUGUGAAUUGCAGAAUUCAGUGAAUCAUCGAAUCUUUGAACGCACAUUGCGCCCCUUGGUAUUCCAUGGGGCAUGCCUGUUCGAGCGUCAUUUGUACCUUCAAGCUCUGCUUGGUGUUGGGUGUUUGUCUCGCCUCUGCGUGUAGACUCGCCUCAAAACAAUGGGCAGCCGGCGUAUUGAUUUCGGAGCGCAGUACAUCUCGCGCUUUGCACUCAUAACGACGACGUCCAAAAGUACAUUUUUACACUCUUGACCUCGGAUCAGGUAGGGAUACCCGCUGAACUUAAGCAUAUCAAUAAGCGGAGGA